rnacentral:rRNA from 1 species
UAAUACGUAGGGUGCGAGCGUUAAUCGGAAUUACUGGGCGUAAAGCGUGCGCAGGCGGUUUUGUAAGACAGAGGUGAAAUCCCCGGGCUCAACCUGGGAACUGCCUUUGUGACUGCAAGGCUGGAGUGCGGCAGAGGGGGAUGGAAUUCCGCGUGUAGCAGUGAAAUGCGUAGAUAUGCGGAGGAACACCGAUGGCGAAGGCAAUCCCCUGGGCCUACACUGACGCUCAUGCACGAAAGCGUGGGGAGCAAACAGGAUUAGAUACCCUGGUAGUCCACGCCCUAAACGAUGUCAACUGGUUGUUGGGUCUUAAUUGACUCAGUAACGAAGCUAACGCGUG